CGGUUACGGGGGAUUAGGGUUCGAUUCCGGAGAGGGAGCCUGAGAAACGGCUACCACAUCUAAGGAAGGCAGCAGGCGCGCAAAUUACCCAAUUCUAACAGCAUAAGAGAGGUAGUGACAAGAAAUAACAAUACAAGGCAGUUAAAAUGCUUUGUAAUUGGAAUGAUAGAAAUUUAAACACUUUUUAAAGUAUCAAUUGGAGGGCAAGUCUGGUGCCAGCAGCCGCGGUAAUUCCAGCUCCAAUAGCGUAUAUUAAAAUUGUUGCAGUUAAAAAGCUCGUAGUUGAAUUUCUGCUAAAAAUAACCGGUCUGCUUUUAACAAAAGUGGUAUCUUGGUGUGUUUUUAGCAAUAAUGUCCUUUGAAAUGUGUUUUACUUUGUUGUAAAAGAUAAUAUUCAGGAUUUUUACUUUGAGAAAAUUAGAGUGUUUCUAGCAGGCUAAUGUUUUGAAUACUGCAGCAUGGAAUAAUAAAAUAUGAUUUUGGUUCUACAUUGUUGGUUUUAAGAG
rnacentral:rRNA from 1 species